rnacentral:rRNA from 1 species
CAGCAGCCACGGUAAUACGAAGGGUGCAAGCGUUACUCGGAAUUACUGGGCGUAAAGCGUGCGUAGGUGGUGGUUUAAGUCCGUUGUGAAAGCCCUGGGCUCAACCUGGGAAUUGCAGUGGAUACUGGGUCACUAGAGUGUGGUAGAGGAUAGUGGAAUUUCCGGUGUAGCAGUGAAAUGCGUAGAGAUCGGAAGGAACAUCUGUGGCGAAGGCGACUAUCUGGGCCAUAACUGACGCUGAUGCACGAAAGCUAGGGGAGCAAACAGGAUUAGAUACCCCUGUAGUCCCUGUCUCUUAUAC